GCAAGUAAAAAAUAGAAUAAGUAAAUGAUAAUGUGUGUGUAGGUAUGUGAGGUUGAUUGAUGAUACUCUCUAGUAACCAUAUCAGAAAUUCUUGUGCUACUUUGUAGAUGCGUUGGAGUUUUUUUCCAAAGAGGAAGGGGUUGAUUUAGUAGAGUAUCAACGAGUUUUCCCUUCAGCAAGAACCAAUGUUUAUCGAAUCAAUAGGAGAAGCACACAAUUAAUCAUCGACUGUUAUUGCACAAACCGCUCGGUGUUAUCAUUCAGUUCAUGGAUUCAUGGAAGAAGAGAAGAGAAUAAUGAUGCUCUGAGUGGAAUCAAUAUUUUCUUUCGAAACCAUGGUUGAAUUCAACAAACCAUGGCUAGCAUUCGAGCUCAUGGGAAGGAAGGCAGUGUAGUUUUCUUCAUCGGAGACG
rnacentral:lncRNA from 1 species